CGCUGGGUUUGUAACAGCUGUGGUAAUAAGAGAUCUGGGACUGAAGGGAAAUCUUAGAGCUCGAAGUCGCCUCCAACAAAAACCGAGCAAAUAACUUUAAUAAGGCUGAAUUCUCUCUUCUGUUUAAGGUGUUUUUUUCCCCACUUCCUCCAAGGAACAACACACUGCAAAAGGAUAAAGGCUGAUCCAGUAUAGCAACCUUUCUGAGACCUGCCUUAAGGCUAAGAUGAACAUUCAGGAGAUGGAGAAACCUGAACGUGGAGGCUUCAGAACUUCCCCCCAGAGGACAAGGAAUUAAAGGAACUUCGUCUUGUGAACCAAAGUCACGUGUCGGCUGUUAUCAGGUUAUGGUCUCACAUCCACUUGAGUAGCAGUAACUGAAUAAUUGAAUGUUCCCCUUGAACCAAAUAGUUUGCUCCUGGAAUUACAGGUGGGUUGGUUCUUCAUGCUUCUGACACUGCAUUGCUUUUUUUGUGGCAGCUACUUCUUGCCUUCUUGCACAGCCAUAUCUGUCAAUACCACAUGGAAGCACACAGCCCGUAGUGUUGAGGAGCUUUGCCUGCAAAAUUCCUGCUUUUGUUUUGAGACUGCUCCUAUGAGCAGAUACUCCCUUCAAUGGCACCUUAAUGGUUACACAGGGCACUGAGGAAGGCUCAAACCUUCAUAACUACAGUACAGCUCCCUCCAUCCAGGUACACUGGGCGUUUGGCAUUCAUACGAAGUUUCUUUGGCAGGCACUGCUUACCAUUUCCUCAUAUUAACAUCUAUCACAAAGAAAUCUCAUCUUCGGGCUCCAGCAGCCUAAUGGCUUCCUUCAGCAUCUGAAUACAUCAACAGCUGUGGCUUCAGCCAUUUUGUCUGACCAAACUGAGAGCGGCCCAAAACCUGCUUCUGCACCAGGAGGGGAUAAAGGAGCCUCUUCUUCUGCAGAGAAGGCUUCCCACAAAACAUACAGAAUUGCAAACAUAAUUCUUCCUUCUCUCCACAGUCCUGAUCGCAGCAAUCUGAAGGCAGAAUGUUUACUCAAAAGGGAGUAUGUCUUUAAACAUCACAAGGCGUGCUUACAGCACUGUGCUGCACAGACAUUGUGUAUCAGAGUACGUGUCUGUGCCACAGAUGAGGCGAUGAUGUCAGCUGAAAAUGCCCUUGUGCCCAGCUGGCAGCAGUGCUGGUGUGCAGCCCUGCUGUGCUGUCACUGUGCUGCUGAGAGC
ensembl:lncRNA